UACGGGGGGGCAAGCGUUGUUCGGAAUUACUGGGCGUAAAGGCUCGUAGGCGGCCAACUAAGUCGGAUGUGAAAUCCCCAGGCUUAACUUGGGAACUGCAUCCGAUACUGGAUGGCUUGAAUCCGGGAGAGGGAUGCGGAAUUCCAGGUGUAGCGGUGAAAUGCGUAGAUAAUCUGGAGGAACACCGGUGGCGAAGGCGGCAUCCUGGACCGGCAUUGACGCUGAUGAGCGAA
rnacentral:rRNA from 1 species